rnacentral:rRNA from 1 species
UACGUGGGUCCCGAGCGUUGUCCGGAUUUAUUGGGCGUAAAGCGAGCGCAGGUGGUUUAUUAAGUCUGGUGUAAAAGGCAGUGGCUCAACCAUUGUAUGCAUUGGAAACUGGUAGACUUGAGUGCAGGAGAGGAGAGUGGAAUUCCAUGUGUAGCGGUGAAAUGCGUAGAUAUAUGGAGGAACACCGGUGGCGAAAGCGGCUCUCUGGCCUGUAACUGACACUGAGGCUCGAAGGCGUGGGGAGCAAACAGG